rnacentral:lncRNA from 1 species
GACAACAUCAGAUGCUCCGGCUGCGGAGGAAACCGAAGUUUCCAUAGCCGAAGCUCCGGCUGAAGUCGAUACCAAAGAAGUGGUAGAAGAAGAAGCGAAGGCUGCUGAGGAAGCGGAGAAAGCAACGGAGGAGGUAAAGGAUGAGACCCCGGAGGUGCAGACAGAAACAGUUACAGAGGAGGCCAAAGUAGAGACCGAGGAACCCGCGGUGGAGGAGAAACCAGCUGAGGAGGAAAAGGGAGAUGAAAAAGCUGAUGAGAUUCCUGUUGAGAAAGUUGAAGAAUAGAGCGACCAAUACCAUACGUAAGGUGGCAAAUGCUUAAAGGAGCUUCUUUUUUCUAUAGUUGGCGGAGUCAUACUACUAUUAUUUAUGAUUACUAUGUAGGAUGUGGGAUGAUGAGGG